rnacentral:rRNA from 1 species
UACGUAGGUGGCAAGCGUUGUCCGGAAUUACUGGGCGUAAAGAGCUCGUAGGUGGUUUGUCGCGUUGUUCGUGAAAUCUCACGGCUUAACUGUGAGCGUGCGGGCGAUACGGGCAGACUAGAGUACUGCAGGGGAGACUGGAAUUCCUGGUGUAGCGGUGGAAUGCGCAGAUAUCAGGAGGAACACCGGUGGCGAAGGCGGGUCUCUGGGCAGUAACUGACACUGAGGAGCGAAAGCGUGGGGAGCGAACAGG